GUGCAAACUCAAUCACUAACUCUGCGUGAUGUGGCAGAAGUGAAGGGAACCAGUUUGCUAAAGUAAUUGUAGUGAUAGAGAUGUAUCAGCCCCAGAAGCUACUGAGGUGUUCACUGUAUCCUAGUACAGUG